GAGUGGUCGUCUGAUUUUGGUAAGGAAAAUUUGUGGACAGACUUAGACAUGUGAACAUAUUGUUUCGGUAUGGACAAGAAUCAUCCAUUGAGAACUUGAUACAUUGGUGUUUCUAUGUCAUUUCGGUUAACUAAUAAUUCAAAAAAAAAAAAAACAAAUGGGUCAACAUCAUCAAAUGUAUGGUGUACAAAAGUUGGAUGCAAUCUAUCUACGUUUUUUUUUAAAAAAAGGUAAUAUUUAAAAAAAGGUAAUAUAUAUAUAUAUAUAUAUAUAU
rnacentral:lncRNA from 1 species